UAUGUGAUCGUCUCUCGCAUAUCAAUAAGCGGAGGAAAAGAAACUAACAAGGAUUCCCCUAGUAACGGCGAGUGAAGCGGGAAGAGCUCGAAUUUGAAAUCUUAAAGGGUUUCCCUUUACGAAUUGUAGUUUAAAGAAGUGUUUUCUGUUGAGGUUUUGGUAAAAGUUCUUUGGAAUAGGACAUCAUAGAGGGUGAGAAUCCCGUAUUUGACCUUUACCUUCAACUUUGUGAUACACUUUCAAAGAGUCGGAUUGUUUGGGAAUGCAGUCCAAAAUGGGUGGUAAAUUUCAUCUAAAGCUAAAUAUUGGCGAGAGACCGAUAGCGAACAAGUACCGUGAGGGAAAGAUGAAAAGAACUCUGAAAAGAGAGUUAAACAGUACGUGAAAUUGUCAAAAGGGAAGCGUUUGACACCAGUGUUGUUUUUCUGAAAAUCAAUUAAAGAACUGUUUAUGCUAAGCUGUUUAGACUUUAUCAGCUAAUCUGUUUAGUUUUGAGCUUUUCUUUAAUGCACUUUUCAGGUUAACAAGUCAACAUCAAUUUCUUUUGCUGUAAAAAAGCUUGAGGAAGGUGGCUUGAGAUUCGUCUUAAGUGUUUAUAGCCUCUUGCCUAUGCAGUCGGAGAGAUUGAGGUCCUGCAGCGUAGAUCCUUCGGGGCUAAAUGCAUUUGUGCUAAGUUAUAGCAUUUUAUAGACAACUUGUUGACUAUGAUUUGUCUUGUAGCUUACUCGCUUAUGUUAUUUUACCUACGCUUAGGAUGUUGAUAUGCAUGACUGAUAU
rnacentral:rRNA from 1 species